CCUUGAAGACGACGAGGUAGAUAGGCUGGAGGUGGAAGUACAGCAAUGUAUGGAGCUGACCAGUACUAAUCGGUCGAGGGCUUAUCCAG
rnacentral:rRNA from 1 species